GGGAAUAUUGCACAAUGGGCGAAAGCCUGAUGCAGCAACGCCGCGUGAGUGAUGAAGGUCUUCGGAUUGUAAAGCUCUGUCUUUUGGGACGAUAAUGACGGUACCAAAGGAGGAAGCCACGGCUAACUACGUGCCAGCAGCCGCGGUAAUACGUAGGUGGCGAGCGUUGUCCGGAUUUACUGGGCGUAAAGGGUGCGUAGGCGGAUGUUUAAGUGAGAUGUGAAAUACCCGGGCUUAACUUGGGUGCUGCAUUUCAAACUGGAUAUCUAGAGUGCAGGAGAGGAGAAUGGAAUUCCUAGUGUAGCGGUGAAAUGCGUAGAGAUUAGGAAGAACACCAGUGGCGAAGGCGAUUCUCUGGACUGUAACUGACGCUGAGGCACGAAAGCGUGGGUAGCAAACAGGAUUAGAUACCCUGGUAGUCCACGCCGUAAACGAUGAGUACUAGGUGUAGGAGGUAUCGACCCCUUCUGUGCCGCAGUAAACACAUUAAGUACUCCGCCUGGGAAGUACGAUCGCAAGAUUAAAACUCUAAAGUGAAUUGAC
rnacentral:rRNA from 1 species